ACUUGAAGGAAAGUGAAGAACUACGACUUGUAUAUGGGCACCUGAGUCGUAAGGAGCUAUUGGUGCAACCGGCCGCUUUAAGU
rnacentral:ncRNA from 2 species